rnacentral:rRNA from 1 species
UACGUAGGGUGCAAGCGUUAAUCGGAAUUACUGGGCGUAAAGCGUGCGCAGGCGGUUCGCUAAGACCGAUGUGAAAUCCCCGGGCUUAACCUGGGAACUGCAUUGGUGACUGGCGGGCUAGAGUAUGGCAGAGGGGGGUAGAAUUCCGACGUGUAGCAGUGAAAUGCGUAGAGAUGCGGAGGAACACCGAUGGCGAAGGCAGCCCCCUGGGUUAACACUGACGCUCAGGCACGAAAGCGUGGGAG